GCUCUAAAUUAAAAUACGUACCAAAUAAAUCACUGUCAUCCAUCUGUAUCUCGAAACUAUCAGACACCGAAUAUGUCGAAGACGAUGGCUGUCCACUCGUUUCUUGGCCAUCGCUGGACACAGAAUCGAUAUUCUCUUCUUGUUGCUUAAUGGGAGAUUUCUUCCUUUCGCCUUCCAUACGAACAAAACCUUGCAAAAUGCGGCCUACAUUCGAACGAUAUUGUAAAAAUGCUUUGCUCACAAUCCUUCACAUCGAGCUUCACAUUGAAAUGAACCUCUUCUGUGACUGUGAC